GGAGUGGUAGCUCAGUGGUAGAGCACUUGCCUAGCACAUGUGAGGCACUGGGUUCAAUUCUCAGCACCACCU
rnacentral:tRNA from 1 species